ACAUGCUUACAUUAUAGCAUUAAUGCAUCGGAUCACAAUAUAAAUUUGCAGUUAAGCACACUCAGGCUAGAGUAGUAUUGGGAUGGGUGAUCGCCCGGGAAGUCCUAGUGUUUUGCAUGCC
rnacentral:rRNA from 1 species